rnacentral:rRNA from 1 species
UGGGGAAUAUUGCACAAUGGGCGCAAGCCUGAUGCAGCCAUGCCGCGUGUGUGAAGAAGGCCUUCGGUUGUAAAGCACUUUCAGCGAGGAGGAAGGUGGUGAGCUUAAUACGCUCAUCAAUUGACGUUACUCGCAGAAGAAGCACCGGCUAACUCCGUGCCAGCAGCCGCGGUAAUACGGAGGGUGCAAGCGUUAAUCGGAAUUACUGGGCGUAAAGCGCACGCAGGCGGUUUGUUAAGUCAGAUGUGAAAUCCCCGGGCUCAACCUGGGAACUGCAUUUGAAACUGGCAAGCUAGAGUCUCGUAGAGGGGGGUAGAAUUCCAGGUGUAGCGGUGAAAUGCGUAGAGAUCUGGAGGAAUACCGGUGGCGAAGGCGGCCCCCUGGACGAAGACUGACGCUCAGGUGCGAAAGCGUGGGGCAGCAAACAGGAUUAGAUACCCCUGGUAGUCCACGCUGUAAAACGAUGUCGAUUUUGGAGGUUGUGCCCUUGAGGCGUGGCUUCCGGAGCUAACGCGUUAAA